GCAGUCGACGGUAGCACAGAGAGCUUGCUCUCGGGUGACGAGUGGCGGACGGGUGAGUAAUGUCUGGGAAACUGCCUGAUGGAGGGGGAUAACUACUGGAAACGGUAGCUAAUACCGCAUAACGUCGCAAGACCAAAGAGGGGGACCUUCGGGCCUCUUGCCAUCAGAUGUGCCCAGAUGGGAUUAGCUAGUAGGUGGGGUAACGGCUCACCUAGGCGACGAUCCCUAGCUGGUCUGAGAGGAUGACCAGCCACACUGGAACUGAGACACGGUCCAGACUCCUACGGGAGGCAGCAGUGGGGAAUAUUGCACAAUGGGCGCAAGCCUGAUGCAGCCAUGCCGCGUGUAUGAAGAAGGCCUUCGGGUUGUAAAGUACUUUCAGCGGGGAGGAAGGCGAUAAGGUUAAUAACCUUGUCGAUUGACGUUACCCGCAGAAGAAGCACCGGCUAACUCCGUGCCAGCAGCCGCGGUAAUACGGAGGGUGCAAGCGUUAAUCGGAAUUACUGGGCGUAAAGCGCACGCAGGCGGUCUGUCAAGUCGGAUGUGAAAUCCCCGGGCUCAACCUGGGAACUGCAUUCGAAACUGGCAGGCUGGAGUCUUGUAGAGGGGGGUAGAAUUCCAGGUGUAGCGGUGAAAUGCGUAGAGAUCUGGAGGAAUACCGGUGGCGAAGGCGGCCCCCUGGACAAAGACUGACGCUCAGUGCGAAAGCGUGGGGAGCAAACAGGAUUAGAUACUCCUG
rnacentral:rRNA from 1 species